UUAUAGAUGAUGUAUGAAAGCAUGAAGGCAAGGGUGGAGAAUGUAGUUGAGAGAGGGAAGGUUGGGGAUGAGUACAUCACUAGCCAACAACAACGUGAUGCUUUCAACAAAUGGAAUUCUCAAGGAUUUACUCGCCAAGACCAUCCUACUGUUAUUUAGGUUUUGUUGGAGAUUGGGAGAGACAAAGACAUCACAGGCGAAUCAAUGCCAAAUCUUAUCUAUGUUUCCAGACACAAAA